AAUUUGGAGUCCAAUUUAGUAAUUUUCUUUUAAAACUUCCAUUCUGCCUGUGGGUGAUAUGGCAGCAUGUUCAGACAUGUCUGCAUGUGAAUAUAAUCCUGCUGUACUUCCUCCUUGGAUGCCAUGCCCUAGCAGAAAGCCCUCCAAAGUAGCUCACUUGAAGACAUAGUUAAUUACGGGUUGGAUAAAGGGGUGACCCACAAAGCCAAGGAACAUAAAGCUAUUAAUACGUAUGUAGUUAUAAAUACAUUACAUAGCAGCAUAGCUGUAUCAGUUCUCACCUAGCUUUGUAUUGACCUAAACUAUAGAAUUAGCACACCGGUAGUGUGGUCUCCUACACUGGAUACAGACCACUGCAGGCGUAGAGAAGUAGGUGUGCUCCUGGAGCGUCACUGGGUAGAAUUAGCAGACAAAUUAAGUUAUUCCUGAUUUAUUUAGCAUUAUAGACAGGCGAUGAGAUUUGAAAAGCAUUAGGUUUGAUUAGAAGACAAGCAAGGCCCUGAUCCUGCAUGCCUUACACAUCCCACUAAGUAAGGCCUAAGGCCCUCAGGGUCUAGUUAGGUUUCAAAUUCAAGUGGCACUCAAGUUAGGAAUAGUUCGGCAUGAUUUUAUUACAAGGGACAGCAUUUCAGCAUGCAUACAAUUAAUCCUCAGUUACCUAAAUAUAGUAGGAGACACUGAAUUAAUUGGAAUGAAUGCAGGUUUGAGUAAUGGAAAUAAUUUUCACUGCAGCUCCAUUUUGGGUCACAACGUUGUGUGCCCUGCCACAGCUUUUGCUGUAACAAUUACGGGAAUGCAAGGCAGCUCAGAAAGACACCAGCUACUCUGCAAUCGUGAUACUGAUGUUGGUCUGUGUGAUUUAGCAGUUGGUAGGGGAGGAGAACUAUGGUAGCCUUGAAGAGCCAGGAACCACGAUCAGACAAGGCCAUGCAUGAUGAGAGGAUGCCUCGUCCAUCCAACACCGCACCUCCAAGGAGCCUCUGCUUGUGGCUUUCAGUAGUCAGCCAGAGAAGGCUGGCCAUGAAGCUGUGACCAGCACUCAGCCCCUUCUCAAAACCUGCUGCUGCUUGGGGCUCAUCUUGCCGAUUGCAGAACCCUCCCCAUGGAGCGCUUCCUUAGGACUCCAGGUUCCAGGGAACAAUAGCUCCUUGACCUUGGGCUGGAUAACAAGCUGCAAAUCUAGUCCUAAAUGAUAUUAUCAUCUUCGUUUAUUUAUUUAAUUGGCACUGCAUUACUCUACAGGCAUGGCCAUUAGGUCUCAUUGUACCGGGUGAAGGCCCAGCACGUGGUAAGAAAUGCUCCACUCCCUGGUGGAAUUGCAGUCUAAGUAAGGCAGGCCAGGGCGGGAGAAAGGAAAUAAGUAAGUAGUAACCCUAUUAAGGAGAUGAUGGACUGAGGCACCAAGCAAUUACAUGACUGUGCUGAGGUCAUACAGGAAGCCUGUGUCAGAACUGAGAAAUAAAACUAGAUCUCCUGAGUGCCAGCCCUGGGCCUUUACUGCAAGAUUACCUGCCCUCUUCAGAAUUCACUGGCAUAUCAGUCUUCAUCCCAUAAGCCACAGUACCAGUUCUUCACAACUCCACACAGCAUGUGUGUGCCCAUGAUGUUGCAGUUUAGAGGCAGAAUUAAAACCACAGUAUAAUUGUUCCUACGCACUUGGCUUAGCAGGAGUAAACCAGAAAAAUGGAGGAGCCCUUCUUAUCGCCGUUCGGUGGCUGGGCCCACUGAAAGACAUAUAAAAACUGAUCAAAAUUGGAUCUAAAGCCUGCGUGAUUUCCAGCCUCUUCCUUUAAGUACUUGUAAUGCCUCAAGGGUGGGAUUUUCAAAAGGCUCCAUUUAUGGGAGUUUUAUCACUGAAUUCAAGAGGAAUAAAGUUAGGCCAGCCCUGAGGCCAUUUGAAUGCCUCACUCACUGUGCCUGCUUAGACUGUGUGUAUUUCAGGGUAGUGCUGCAUCUUCCUCCACAUCACCUUUUAUCUAAGACCCCCACAAAAGUUUGUAUUGAGAACAUGUGUACCCAUCACAGUACUUGAUUAUAUGGAUCUGGUGAGGUCACAGUUCCGAGUCAUCUCUGUGGGUGAUCUCAGCCAUACAUGGGCCACGCAGGACCCAUGGGACAUAAGGCCUGUGGCAUACUGCUUCAGGGGAAAUCAUGUUCGUAUGGCAGCAGUUCUGUUUUCAACCACAGCAGACGAUGGUCAGCUCGAUUUUCUUCCAUCUUGUCAACUGAGAGCAUCAGCUUCCUGUAAGGGACAUUGGCAGACUGGCAGAGAGACAGAGCAAGAGUCCAAGGUGUGCCAAUGGAGACAUGAAGGGUUUGCCAAAGACGACUACAGAGUUCUGACUAUAAAAUUUUCCUCAAAGUGAUGAACAGCAAUUUAAAGAUCAAUUGAAGUUGGACUUCAGCCUGUGAACUGGCUGGCUGACCGCCGUAACGGAGGGGAGGGGAAGGAAGUGCAGUAGCAGAAGGAAACAGUGACAUUACUACUGUGGAGAGAAGAACUUUUUCCUCAAGUGAUCUUGGCAAUUUGAGGACUGAGCUGUAAGGCGGGAAGCACUCAGCUCCGCACACACCUAAACUUGAGCACCCACUGCUGAAGAAUUCUUGACCCAUUUCUGUGCUGUGUGGAGUACAGUGACCGCAGACAUCCACCCUAAAACAGAGCACCACCUUACUGGAAGAAACAAUGUUUACAAUGAAACCUCCCCCCCAGAAUGGUCGAAUAAGGAGCUGUGAAGCUGAGGAAGUGGGAAAAUUCAACCCUAUAGCUUCAGAAUUGUCUGCUGAAGCUGUAUUGCCACAAUGUCAUGCCUUGUAGGCCAAGAAAGACUCAGCUUCUUGUGAAUAGAAGUAGGUUUCUAAGUGUUUUGUACACCUAAUAACAGCCACAAAUAGCUGGGCAUAGUGGUGUUGCCAGCUCUCUCAGCUUUAUUUAUGAGUCCUGCAAGGCUGGUGUUUUCCUGAAAUCCCUGUUCUUAAAGUCCCAUUAAAGGAGUAUCUCAUUUUAAA